GACGAACGCUGGCGGCGUGCUCAAUACAUUGCAAGUCGAAUCGCCUUUUCGUUUUCACCAGCGAGUCUUGCUCCACCGAAAACAAAUAGAGUGGCGGACGGGUGAGCUAACUACGUGCGGUAACCUCGCCCUCAAGCGGGGGCAUAACACUUGGAAACAGGUGCUAAGUACCUGCAUAACAAUCAGAAUCUGCUAUGAUUUUGAUUUGAAAGCGCGCUUUUGCGUCUACUUGAGCGAUGGACCCGCGGUGCAUUAGCUACUUGUGUGAGCGUAACUGGCUCUACCAAGGCCACGCAUGCAUAGCCGACUCUGAGAGGGUGAUCGGCCACACUGGGACUGAGACACUGGUCCAAACUCAUACGGGAGGCAGCAGUAGGGAAUUUUCGUCAAUGGGGGGAACCCUGAACGAGCAAUGCCGCUGUGAGUGAAGAAGGUUUCGGAUCGUAAAACUCUGUUGUUAGAGAAGAACAAGGGUGAGAGUAGAAUGUUCACCCCUUGACGGUAUCUAACCAGAAAGCCACGGUAACUACGUGCCAGCAGCCGCGGUAAUACGUAGGUGGCAAGCGUUGUCCGGAUUUAUUGGGGCGUAAAGCGAGCGCAGUGCGGUCUCUUAAGGUCUGAUGUGAAAGCCCCCGGGCUCAACCGGGGAGGG
rnacentral:rRNA from 1 species